GCUGUUUCUCGGUACUGAGAGGUCAACACCGCGCUAGGCACCAGUGCUCCCUUUUACUUCCCUCUGAGCUCUUUCUGGCGGUGGCCCUGAGAGCGUUGAGGCUUAGGGGAAGGGUCAGGUCCCCAGAACUCCCGGGCGCUGGCUGCUGCGGUCUCCCCAUCAUACCCCCAGCCCAGCCCUCCGCAGCCUUUCCCACUCUGGCGUGUGGCCUGAGCCUUGUGACUCACAGAACCCCUGGCUGGCCCCUGCCUGUCAGCACCCUGCGAGAUUCUGCAUGCUCCUGUCCCUUCCCACCCGGGCCAGGCACCAAGGAUAACUGGAUGUGGCCUGGCCAUCUAGCUGACUUGAAGGUCUCCAGAGGUUCCCCACCUUUAGCUUGCCAUGGGCAGGUCCUGGGAAAAUGCCACCUAGAGUCAGGAGAAGGCAAGGCUGGGGGUUGUAUCCCAAGGGGUCUCUUAGGAGAGGGUGACUUUGCUGCAGCAGAGCUCUGGUGCCAGCCCCUCUCUAGGCAGUUGAUGACCUAGAGGGCUAAGGUCAGCUCUGCCCUAGAGCCUGGCGUGGGGUGUCCCUGGCCAUGGGGUUCCUGGGACUCUCCCCACCGGCUGCCCAAACCUGCCAGGAAGAUGGAAGAAGUCCACCACUCAAGCCAGGAGGAGCUUCUUCCAAACACAUGGGAGCUUUUCAGAGCCAGUAUAGACUUGAGCCAGGAAGCAGAGACCAGUGCAGAGGUGGGAUCCAUCUCACUUCCGCCUGUCCCCAAGCCCCUGUCCCCAAGCCUUGCGCCAGCACAGGCAGGUACCAGCCCACUCUGGAGCCCUCAGUCCUUAGGGGGAGGAAGGAUGGGGGUGGUGCCCUGUGUAAUGAGGCUCCCCUUUGUCCUGUGCCAGACAGAGCCAGGCUUCAUCACGAGUGGCAGGAGAGAGGGACCAGAUCUGAGGUGCAAGCAGGUUCCUGAGAUCUCAGGAGACUCUACUGUCUCGUGGGGACACGGGGCCUAGAGGAGACGGGGAAUUUGUCCCCUCUGCAGACCAUCUGUGCUCUACUCGGGCCUUCCUGUGCCCAGGGGAACAGGCCCUACACCGUGUGGCAAAGCCUGUGGCCAGCUGUGCCCCACCCAGCCUCUCUUUGUGGGGUUACCCCAUUUUAGAGUUCUGUCUAAAAUCUCUAUCAAC
rnacentral:lncRNA from 1 species